UACGAAGGGGGCUAGCGUUGUUCGGAAUCACUGGGCGUAAAGCGCACGUAGGCGGCUUCUAAGUCAGGGGUGAAAUCCUGGAGCUCAACUCCAGAACUGCCUUUGAUACUGGAGAGCUUGAGUCCGGAAGAGGUGAGUGGAACUCCGAGUGUAGAGGUGAAAUUCGUAGAUAUUCGGAGGAACACCAGUGGCGAAGGCGGCUCACUGGUCCGGUACUGACGCUGAGGUGCGAAAGCGUGGGGAGCAAACAGG
rnacentral:rRNA from 1 species